AUUAUACCAGCAGGUGUUCAGAGUCUGAGCCACGAGGAGGAGGGAGAUACCGAUGGACUGAAAGCUAGCGAGCAUCCGGUGAAAUCAAUCAAUAACGGUCAUUUACAAAACGACAAAAGUUAAGUUGAUAGACUUUUUAAAAUAAAUAUGCUACAGCGUUGCGAAGGCUAAGGAUGUUUAGCGAUGUCACGCUAGCAGACGGACUGGAUUCGCUGCUUUCCGCCAUGUUGUAAGGUCAAGGCCCAGCGCAUCUCGACAACUCUGAUGAACAGGCGGGUCCUUCCACCGCCUCUCUCCCUCAGAGGCUGUCUGUUGCUGGACUGGGGGACGCCACUAAUGAGGAGCAGGAAGCUCCCCUGUAGCAGCAGGAUCCUCCAGCGCCAGGAGACCCUGCCAGACGGGACCCUUCGCCACUUGCUGUGGAGAUGCUGCCUCAGUCCUGGAGGGCAGCACUUAGAGCAGAGCAGCAGGAGUGGAUCAGCCGGAUGCUGUUCAUCAGGGACAACAUGGGGAGGCCUCGCCUCACCACAGACCUUAGCCUCUGGUGGUUCCCUCUACAGCCCCAGCCCGUCUACCAUCAGCCUCCUGCGUCCCCCGACCCCUUCUUUGCCCGUCGGCUGUUCCUGUUGAUGCCCCACAGGAUCUGGCAUCUGCAGCUGAUGUUCCCCCAGCCUGUGCUGCCCAAGUUUGCACCCAGCCCCCCUGCUUCACCACCUCUUCCUCUGCUUGUGCCCAAAUCGAUGGAUUACAGGAAGAGGAAAUUGGCUGAGGCUGCCUGAGCUACUGGGGGGACGGCACAGAUGGAAAAACAAAGUUUAUCUCUGCAGCUAGUGUAGGCAGGCAAAGAGAAAGGACACAGGACACUCCAGGGUCGCCAGUGUUUUCUGCCCCGCCACGUUUGGGGCUAAAAGCGUGGAGAAGUGGAAAUAAAACCUUAAAAUAAUAAAUUUCCAAAAGCCGUCUGCCACUGCUGCAGGACUCCCAGCAUCCCCUGCUGGAUCAUCCAAGGAGACAUGAUGAAACCAGUUGGAUGGUUUAUUGCAAUCGGGGGACAUGAUGGGCACACCUUUGUUUUUACACGGAUAUUACAGCUGUAAAAUUACAGUUUAUUUUUGUGGUUCAUGACGCUGAAUGAUCCAGUAGGAAUAUGAAACUGGAUCCAGUCAGAAGGUCCGGAUGGUGCGAGUAAGGAGCCUGUUUCUCAGCCUGUUUGGGUCUUUGUCAGGUCGGUGGAACCCCCCUCCCCCACCUGUUUCUGGUCCUCCAUGCUGACAUGGACCCUGCAGCUGACGAUGACUCAUCCCGACCCUAAUGGACCGUCCCCUCAGUGACUCAGCUGCAUCACUGUGACUCUGCACAAAUAUCUUUGGUGUUGCAUUCAUGUUGCACCAGCUGCAGUUCCCCUCUGUGCCAGCAGGGGGCACAACAGACCGUCUGCUGCUCCAU